AGAAUCAACGCUGGCGGCGUGCCUAACACAUGCAAGUCGAACGCGAAAGUCCCGCAAGGGAUGAGUAGAGUGGCAAACGGGUGAGUAACACGUGGGUGACCUGCCUUCGAGCGGGGGAUAACGUCCCGAAAGGGACGCUAAUACCGCAUGACAUCCUGCCUUUGAAGAGGCGGAGAUACGAAAGGCCGGGGAUCGCAACGACCUGGCACUCGGAAGGACGGGGCCCCGCGCCUAGACUUAGCUUAGUUGGGUCGGGGUAACGCGUCACCAAGGCGACGAUCGAGUAGCCGGCCUGGAGGACGGGCGGACGCCACACGUGGGACUGAGACGCGGCCCAGACCUCCGACGGGAGGCAGCGAGGUGGGUAAUUGUUA
rnacentral:rRNA from 1 species